ACUCCUGCGGGAGGCAGCAGUGGGGAAUUUUGGACACUGGGCGAAAGCCUGAUCCAGCAAUGCCGCGUGAGUGAAGAAGGCCUUCGGGUUGUAAAGCUCUUUUGUCAGGGAAGAAACGGUGAAAGCUAAUAUCUUUUGCUAAUGACGGUACCUGAAGAAUAAGCACCGGCUAACUACGUGCCAGCAGCCGCGGUAAUACGUAGGGUACAAGCGUUAAUCGGAAUUACUGGGCGUAAAGCGUGCGCAGGCGGUUUUGUAAGUCUGAUGUGAAAUCCCCGGGCUCAACCUGGGAAUUGCAUUGGAGACUGCAAGGCUAGAAUCUGGCAGAGGGGGGUAGAAUUCCACGUGUAGCAGUGAAAUGCGUAGAUAUGUGGAGGAACACCGAUGGCGAAGGCAGCCCCCUGGGUCAAGAUUGACGCUCAUGCACGAAAGCGUGGGGAGCAAACAGGAUUAGAUACCCCAGUAGUCCCAUG
rnacentral:rRNA from 1 species